AGUCAAUAGAUACCCGGGUAGUCUUGGCUGUAAACGGUGCGCAUUUGCUGUAAACGGAAUCGACCCCGUUUGUGGCGAAAGCUAAACGCGAUAAAUGCGCCGCCUGGGAAGUACGGUCGCAAGAUUAAAACUCAAAGAAAUUGACGGGGGCCUGCACAAGCGGUGGAGUAUGUGGCUUAAUUCGAUGCAACGCGAAGAACCUUACCUGGCCUUGACAUGCAUUUAGUAGAACCAUGAAAGUGGGACGAUCCCGCAAGGGAAGGAUGCACAGGUGCUGCAUGGCUGUCGUCAGCUCGUGUCGUGAGAUGUUGGGUUUAAGUCCCGCAACGAGCGCAACCCUUGUGUCCUGUUGCCACUCCUACGAGAGUAGGAAGCACUCUGGACAGACUGCCUCGCUUAAACGAGGAGGAAGGUGGGGAUGACGUCAGUCAGUAUGGCCCUUACGGCCAGGGCUGCACACGUACUACAAUGCGCGGCACAGAAGGAAGCUAGACCGUCAGGUGGAGCAAAUCCCGAAAACCGCG
rnacentral:rRNA from 1 species